GAUGAACGCUAGCUACAGGCUUAACACAUGCAAGUCGCGGGGCAGCAUGGGGGUUGCUUGCAACCCCUGAUGGCGACCGGCGCACGGGUGAGUAACGCGUAUCCAACCUGCCCUUCACCACGGGAUAACCCGGCGAAAGUCGGACUAAUACCGUAUGUUGUCCAUUGACGGCAUCCGAUUUGGACGAAAGGCUUGGCGGUGACAGGAUGGGGAUGCGUCCGAUUAGCUUGACGGCGGGGUAACGGCCCACCGUGGCUACGAUCGGUAGGGGUUCUGAGAGGAAGGUCCCCCACACUGGAACUGAGACACGGUCCAGACUCCUACGGGAGGCAGCAGUGAGGAAUAUUGGUCAAUGGGCGUAAGCCUGAACCAGCCAAGUAGCGUGCAGGAUGACGGCCCUAUGGGUUGUAAACUGCUUUUAUGCGGGGAUAAAGUGGCCCACGUGUGGGCUUUUGCAGGUACCGCAUGAAUAAGGACCGGCUAAUUCCGUG
rnacentral:rRNA from 1 species